rnacentral:rRNA from 1 species
UACAGAGGAGCCAAGCGUUGUCCGGAUUUACUGGGCGUAAAGGGCGCGUAGGCGGUCAGCACAAGUCAGUUGUGAAAUCUCCGGGCUUAACUCGGAAAGGUCAACUGAUACUGUGCGACUAGAGUGCGGAAGGGGCAACUGGAAUUCUCGGUGUAGCGGUGAAAUGCGUAGAUAUCGAGAGGAACACCUGCGGCGAAGGCGGGUUGCUGGGCCGACACUGACGCUGAGGCGCGAAAGCCAGGGGAGCGAACGGG